AGGGAUAAUAAUAGAAGAAGAGUGCUUAAGAAGAAUCCAUUAAAGAAUCCUAGAGUUAUGAACCAUCUUAAUCCCUACAGUAAAGUAAUGAGAAAAGCCGCUCAGAAUGUGGAGGCCAUCCGCAAAGCUUCUCGUCAGGCCAAGCUGGAUGCCAAGCGUGGAAUCAAAACAGAGGCCAAGCCACCUGCAAAGAAAGCAGCAAAGGCCAAAAAGACAGCAAAGCCAGCAAAGAAAUAGACAGAGCAAAUACUUGGUCUCCUUUCCUUAUGACUGCAUCUUAAAUAUGACUGUCAAAAAGGCAUGUGAUUGUACCAUGUUGUCAAAAUAAAGUCUCUGAUCACCUUG
rnacentral:misc_RNA from 1 species